GGCGCGUUGGCGGAGUGGUUACGUAGCGGACUGCAAAUCCGCGUACGCCGGUUCAAUUCCGGCACGCGCCUCCA
rnacentral:tRNA from 1 species